AUUUCCUAUAACCUAGAACUCUCAGACCGGGCAUUCCAUCCUUGUGGCUUGGGGACUGAGUGGUCAGAGGCUCGUUGGGCUCCAUCGGGUUACGGUAGUGGAGAAUAGACCAUCGCUUGGCUAUGACAAGUGACAAAGGGCUGGUGGGGAAAUUGCCCAUUGCAUCAAUUGAGUAGGAGUGUAAGGCACACAUAAGAAUUAUAGGAACUUACUCCUAUGUUAGCUGAUGCAGCUUCUCCACAUUCCCUUCUCAUCCACUAUGUUAUUUUUGAGUCACAUGUUCUGAAAAUAGUUGCUUUUAAAAAAGAAAUAUGUAGGGUGCUCUUGUUGAAAAAUUUUGAGGCCUAAUAAUUAGAGUCUAAUGGUGGAAUUCCAGGCAUUGAAACAAGGAGUUAGGAGAUAUUUUGGGUUUGGAUGGUUCUCCCCCAAACUUCUUGAAUUAUGUGAUGCAAGAGUAAGCUUAUUCUAACUGGUGCUGUGGCCCCUUCUUCUUCUGCACCUGCCUGGUUCUGCUUCGACCCUUACUAUGUACAUACCAAGGUAUUUAUGAAUAAUGCACCAUAAACAUGGCUAGAGAAAUUCUUUUUCUCUUAAACAGGACAUCAUGAAAGCAAGCAAAAAAUUUGUUAUUAUACACUAAAGUUGUAGAAAGAUGAUGAAUGUAUAAUUUGGUAGACUAUAAAAGCCAUGGAAAUAUUGGUGAUUGGGUUAAAAUCAUGCUUUAUUGCUCUUAGCCUGGGAACUUGGGCAAAAGCUUUUUGAACCAGGAAAAUGUCACUGUUUUAAGAGAUCACACAUCUGAUCAGCAAUUACGUGGAGCCUUUGUCAGUUACCUUCGUUGAGCCCAACUCUUUUCCCAAGACAUAAGGAAAACAUCUUGAAAGACAAGACGGCCAGCUAUGGCAGUUCAUUUCAAGUCUCCAACAGACUUUCCACGUGCUUUACCUUUCAAGACUGUAUUAAUUAUCUUCCAGAUUUUAGACAUACAAAAAUUUGCAUGGAUUAGACUUUUAAAGCAGAUUAUACUGUGUUCAGUUUGGUGGUCAGAG
rnacentral:lncRNA from 1 species